UGAACCCAUGCCCGGCCAGAAAUGUUUUUUUUAAAAAGGCUGUCUACUAAUGGAGUUCCUGGCCUGAGAGGAUAUUACUUUCCAAGGAAAGAAUUUCCUUCAUUAUUUAAGGAGCCACCUAAGCUAAAGAUUCCCUUGAGAACAAGUACUGUCCUGUGGUUUCAUGGCCUUUCUUCCAUUUGUGGUUCUUGCCAAGUGGAAUUUCAAUGACAUCUUAUCAAGAUGGAUAAACCCAAGUUUCCUGGUGCUGGAAUAGAGAAAAUGGAUGCACAAGUUGAAUUAUAUCCAAAGAUGAUAUUUCCGGAAGUGAGAUUACUGUGAGUGACGGAAUGUAUUUUUGUCACUCCAGCUGGAUCUACCAUGAAAGACUUCUGAAUCCAGGAAGAGAGACUGACUGGGCAACAUGUUAUUCAGGUACAAAAAGACUUGGACUAUAACUCAAAAAUGAUCAAAUAAUAGUGCAUGCAUCAAGUGCAAUGGGAAGCUCUUCUGGAGGGUGAGAGAAGCUUCCAGUUAAGGUGACAUUAAAGCCAGGUUCUGAAAGAUGAGGAAGAGUUGUAUGAGAGUGGGGAGGGAAGGAGGAGGUGGAGGGAUGAGGAAUGGGCUGGGAUGGGAUGGAGUGAGCUGCUCAGGCAAGGAAACCAGCACUGUACAGACCUGGACAAUGAAGAUGUCACAUUUUGUUCAGGGAAUGGUGAAUUAAGUGUGGCAGGAAUGCUUUGUAGAGACAGUAUAUGGAGUUUUGCCCAAGACCUCAUUACAGUUUCUAAGUUUUUGAUGUUAUCAUGCCUCACUGUACUUGUCAAACAGUAUGAUGAUCACAAUAACAUCGAGCAUAGUAUUUCAUUAAUUCUCACAAAAACAGGUAGGUGCCACAGUUUUCCCCAUUUUAUGCACGAAAUGAUGAAGACUUGGGGUUAAUGAACGAUUUGCCCAAGCUUGCCUGGAUAUUAAGACUGAGUCAAAUGUUAGGUCUGGUCUGACUUUAAUGCUUGCCUUGUUCAUGAGCACCGUGCACUGUCUCUCCUAUGCAGUUAAGCAGGUAGACAGGUGAGAGAAGAACUCAUGUUUCUCUCUUCUCACACUCUAACCAAAUAUGUGUGUGGAGUUUCUACACCAAUUCUCCAACUCUCUGGACACCAACUGUGUAUUCCACAAUUCCAUUUUGACACUACCUGGGGUUAGUGCAGACCUCACAGGUAAGGGGCUAAGUCCCACGAGACCACCCUUACUUCAGAUGCCAAUUGCAAGUCCUAGGUUGUCACCUGUAUUUCGACCAACCAGUUAGAAAUCAGGGUUUCCCAUGACUCUCUUCUUGAGUUUAGUUAUUUGCUAGAA